rnacentral:lncRNA from 1 species
GGGUUGCCAUAAGCCAGGAGACAGCUGGUUUGAAAAGGCUAAUAAUAAAUAGGGCAGUACCACUAUUUAUCUACUGGUUUUUAGUUAUGUUAGGUCAUGGGAAUGAACACGGCUGGCCUGUUUCACUCUGAAGUAGUUCUUAACCUCUUUUCUGACAUCAGCUGUGAUUUCUACAUUCACUGACAUGAAAGCACUACAUAGAUUUUUCUCUCUGGCGGUGCAGUGUGUCUCAAAAGGUAUGAGAAAACUGCUUUGAGGACUCUGAGCCCCUCGGUAUAUGGAGACUUGGUGGGUGAGCCAAUUUAAUCCCUUGCCCCAUUGGUUCUAAACAAAGUGCUUUUAGCCAAGCAAGAUGCUGUGUGGUUCUUGAUGAGUAAGCCUAUCAGGGCAGAGUUGUUUGCCUCUAAGUAGAAGCUUUUUGGCAGUAGCUGCAGGUUACAUUCUCCAUCAGAAGCAUUAUGUAAGCCUGGGUUUUGCGUUCCCAGUAAUAAAAUGCUCAUGCAGUAUUACAAUUAAUUAAGUCACAAUGAAGUCUAAUCAAUAAAGACUCAAAAAUAUUGUCCACAAGAGAUCUCUAUGCCUUCACUAACGCUGCAGUUUUUUCACUGUAAAUUAAUUUUCCUUCAGUUAAAUAAACGAUCUUAGUAUGUCUGCUAGCAGGUGGUACAACAGGGGAAUAGGGUAAACUAGGCUUUAAGUAUGUUGUUAAAAAAAUAUAUUGAAUGAAUCUGGUGCUCAAAAAAUUUAAGUUAUUUGCAUCCAUCGGUGGAAGGGCAGAUCAGAGGAAAUAUUUGCCAACACAUGAAGCCAGGCCAGGUUUCACCUUCCACAACAGCUCAAGAAAACAGCAAGUUUCAACUUUUAAUCCUUCUAUAAUUUAGACUCAGGGUUUUAUCAAACUGCUCUUUGGGAUGCUCUGAGAAGUUUAAUCCAAAAACACUGGCCUGGAUCAAACUUAUUUUACUUAAGGAAUAGGAAGCAAACUCUACAGUAGAUCAAAACACCCUUUUACACCUAAAAGUCAUUUGACUUGGUCACCUUCACAAUAACUCAUAUAACAAAACUACAUAAAACCAUGGCUGGGCGUGAUGGCUCACGCCUAUGAUCCCAGCAUUUUGGGAGGCAGAGCCAGGCGGAUUGCUUGAACCUAGGAGUUCAAGACCAGCCUGGGCAACAUGAUGAAAAUCUUGUCUCUACACUAAAAAAAAAAAAAAAAAAAAAGUAUAUAAAACCAAGUGGUUUGAUGAAUAAAUAAUUUAGAUCAUGUUAAUAAUAUAAUACAAGAGUCUGGCAGGGCACGGUGGCUCACGUCUGUAAUCCCAGCACUUUGGGAAGCCGAGGCGGGCAGAUCACUUGAGGCCAGGAGUUCAAGACCAGCCUGGCCAACAUGACGAGACCCCGUCUCCACUAAAAAUACAAAAAUUAGCUGGGUGUGGUGGCACAGGCCUAUAGUCCUAGCUACUUUGGAGCCUGAGGUAGGAGGGUUGUUUGAACCCAGGAGUUUGAGGCUACAGUGAGCUAUGGUCAUACCACUAGGCUCUAGCUUAGGUGACAGAGCAAGACCCUGUCGCCAAAAAUAUAAAAACUGAAAAAUUGAAAUAUUUUUAAAAAAUAUAUUGGCUGGGUGACAGAGAUCCUGUCUCAAAAAAUAAACCUAUUAAAAAAGAAAUUAUUUUAUAAACUCAAAAGCCCUAAACAAAUGUAAUUAUUUGAUAUUACUACUGAUAUUAUGAUUUGGAUAAGACUACUCUCCAGAGGGGCUUUUGGAGUCAGUGUUCGAACAACCCUAUGCAUUAAUUCAUUCAACAAAUAUUUACUGAGUGCCUACUAGAACUCAGGCACCGUCCAAAGCCCUGGGAACAUAACAGUAAACAAAAACCAAAUGCUUAUUAUGGUCAAGUGGUGAUAGGAGGUGAGGAGACAAUAAAGUAAGUGCUAUGAAGAAAAAGCAGAAUUACAGAAAGAGAAUGAUGGGGGUAGCCAGGACAGGCCUCUCUGAGGGGACCUAUGACUCCUCUCUGAGGGGAAUGUAUGUGUUUGGCAAGUCUGAGAAACAGCAAGGAAGGCCCUGUGACUGGAGCUCAGAACCGGAGGUGAACAGUAACAGGAAAUGAGACCAAAGAAGGGGCAAUGACAGCUGUGCCUUGUAGGCCAUAGUAAUAAUGACUCCUUGAAUUUUAUUCUGAAUGUAAACAAAUGCCACUGGGGAUGGGGUGGUUCUGAUUCAGAUUUCAUAUUUACUAAGUCCUACUACACACCAGAUCCUGUGGUAGGUUAUUGACAGUUGUGAAAAAGACAUGUUUCGUCUGUACUUUCACUAAGUUCAGUCUGGUGUGGAAGACAUACAAUGAAAGAAGUAGUUACAAUAUAAAGCUUGGUAAGCACCACGAUAAGAGAAAGUUUAGAGACAUGAAGAGUGAAUAGAAAUUAUCUAGAUUCUUAUUUCUAUCCAAUCUAAUUUUUUUUAUUCUG